ensembl:lncRNA
AGUACAUUUAUGAGUGAGGACUGAGGAGUCCAACCCCCGCCCCCCAGAACCGUGUGGUCCCUGCAGUACCCUGUUCCAUCCCUGAUGUCAAUCCUGGGAGACUCCCAGUAGGUUUGUCGGGAUCUGCACUGCCCUCCUCUUUUCUGACUCUUGCGAACUCCAAGGUGACCCGUGAUUAAGGGAAGUGGACCUCAGGGGGAGGGGGCGCCGGCAAUUCCAAGAGUCAAACUGAUCCUGUGGGAUGACUGAAUUGCCCGCCAAACAGAAGAGAAUGGGUCUCCACUUCUUCUGAGCCCGUUUUCAGCUCUCGGAAGCCCUAUGCAGGGUCCUUGGAUGUAGUUGCCGACUUCAACCUUGGGAAUCUGAAGACGAGGCUUCAACUGCAGUGAUUGCACUCAGGUCAGCAAAGGGACGAGACCCAGACUCUGCCAGUUGUCAGAGGGAGGAUCCUGAAGAAACUGCAGACACCUGCCUUUUCCAUCUGCCUCAUGAGGCCCCAGGCUGACAAGAACAGCAGCCUGUGACACCUGGGAGCUCCCCUAAAGAGGAGACCUGGUCCCAUUGUCCUGCUGGC